GGUGAGGCUCCAGGCUCCUUCAGGGCAGAAUGGUAGAACAGGCCAACCAUGGAAUCUUCCUCUAAAGACCUACCUCCUCACAGACAGGGGAAGAGGAAGCUUGGCACCCGAGAUGAGGCAGAGGAUUCUCACGCAUUUGAGGAGCGGCCUGUUCUAGCUACCGUUCGCUGGUCAACCAGAUGCCGGUGCUGCGGCGUGGGAGGAGCGCAGGGACUGCUCCAGAGAAACCAGAAAACAUUUGAUGGACGAGUCCCUUCAAGUGCUCCUAGAUGCCUAAGUCCUUGGAGAGGGAAUGAACCAGGAAUGUAGGAGAGAAAUCACAUGGGGGGCCCAUGUGUGUAUGCAGAAGGACAUCGUCCAGGUGAUCAUCACACGAACCUCAGAGGGCUGCACACAGAGAGAAUGCGGUUCUUAGCUCUGCAAAGAAAAAGGCCC